CUGAGAGUGUGUAUCUGUUAACAAAUGUGUGUGUCUGACACUGAGUGUAUGUGUGUCUGUCAGUGAAUGUGUAUGUGUGUUUGUCAGUGUGUCUGUCAGUGAGUAUAUGUGUGUCUGAGUGAGUGUGUAUAUGUCUUGUCAGUGAGUGUGUAUCUGUUAGUGAGAUCGUGUGUCAGUGUGUCUGUCGGUGAAUGUGAGUGUGCGUGUCUGUCAGUGAGUGUGUAUGUUUCAGGACAAUGACUGUGUAUCUGCCAGCAAGUGUAUGUCUGUCAGAGCGUGUUGUUUUUUAACAGGAAGUGAACUUUAGAAGGGGGGUGGUGCCUGAGCUUUGUCAUGCCUAGGGCAGCAAAAAAACAGAAUACACCACUGGUUAAGAUGUAUUGAGUCAUAUUACAGCACAACUAAGGGUUUAGGGACUUGGCUUAGAGGGCACUUACCUUAAAGAUG